rnacentral:tRNA from 2 species
GCCGCUGUGGUGUAACGGUAGCAUACAGGCCUGUGGAGCCUUCGGCCCGGGUUCGACUCCCGGCAGCGGCC